AGUGAACGCUGGCGGUAGGCCUAACACAUGCAAGUCGAACGGCAGCACAGUAAGAGCUUGCUCUUACGGGUGGCGAGUGGCGGACGGGUGAGGAAUACAUCGGAAUCUACUUUUUCGUGGGGGAUAACGUAGGGAAACUUACGCUAAUACCGCAUACGACCUACGGGUGAAAGCAGGGGAUCUUCGGACCUUGCGCGAUUGAGUGAGCCGAUGUCGGAUUAGCUAGUUGGCGGGGUAAAGGCCCACCAAGGCGACGAUCCGCAGCUGGUCUGAGAGGAUGAUCAGCCACACUGGAACUGAGACACGGUCCAGACUCCUACGGGAGGCAGCAGUGGGGAAUAUUGGACAAUGGGCGCAAGCCUGAUCCAGCCAUACCGCGUGGGUGAAGAAGGCCUUCGGGUUGUAAAGCCCUUUUGUUGGGAAAGAAAAGCAGCAGGUUAAUACCCCGCUGUUCUGACGGUACCCAAAGAAUAAGCACCGGCUAACUUCGUG
rnacentral:rRNA from 1 species